CCUACGGGUGGCAGCAGUGAGGAAUAUUGGUCAAUGGUCGGGAGACUGAACCAGCCAAGCCGCGUGAGGGAGGAAGGUACAGAGUAUCGUAAACCUCUUUUGUCAGGGAACAAAGACUGGGACGCGUCCCCGGAUGAGUGUACCUGAAGAAAAAGCAUCGGCUAACUCCGUGCCAGCAGCCGCGGUAAUACGGAGGAUGCGAGCGUUAUCCGGAUUUAUUGGGUUUAAAGGGUGCGCAGGCGGUCUGUUAAGUCAGCGGUUAAAGGCCGGGGCGCAACCCCAGCCCCGCAGUUGAAACUGGCAGUCUCGAGUUGGAUAGAAGUAGGCGGAAUGCGCGGUGUAGCGGUGAAAUGCAUAGAUAUCGCGCAGAACUCCGAUUGCGAAGGCAGCAUGCCGGCUCCACACUGACGCUGAGGCACGAAAGCGUGGGUAUCGAACAGGAUUAGAUACCCAUGUAGUC
rnacentral:rRNA from 1 species